rnacentral:rRNA from 1 species
AACGAACGCUGGCGGCAGGCUUAACACAUGCAAGUCGAACGCCCCGCAAGGGGAGUGGCAGACGGGUGAGUAACGCGUGGGAACAUACCCUUUCCUGCGGAAUAGCUCUGGGAAACUGGAAUUAAUACCGCAUACGCCCUACGGGGGAAGGAUUUAUCGGGGAAGGACUGGCCCGCGUUGGAUUAGCUAGUUGGUGGGGUGAAGGCCUACCAAGGCGACGAUCCAUAGCUGGUCUGAGAGGAUGAUCAGCCACAUUGGGACUGAGACACAGCCCAAACUCCUACGGGAGGCAGCGGUGGGGAAUAUUGGACAAUGGGCGCAAGACUGAUCCAGCCAUGCUCCGGGGGUGAAGAAGGACAUAGGGUGGGAAAGCUCGUGCAACGAUGAAGAUAAUGCCGGUAGCCGGAAAGGAAGCCCCGGCUAGCUCCGUCGCAGCCGCCGCCGUAAUAG